AACGAACGCUGGUGGCAUGCCUAACACAUGCAAGUCGAACGAACCCUUCGGGGUUAGUGGCGCACGGGUGCGUAACGCGUGGGAAUCUGCCCUUUGGUUCGGAAUAACAGUUAGAAAUGACUGCUAAUACCGGAUGAUGACUUCGGUCCAAAGAUUUAUCGCCAGAGGAUGAGCCCGCGUAGGAUUAGGUAGUUGGUGGGGUAAAGGCCUACCAAGCCGACGAUCCUUAGCUGGUCUGAGAGGAUGAUCAGCCACACUGGGACUGAGACACGGUCCAGACUCCUACGGGAGGCAGCAGUGGGGAAUAUUGGACAAUGGGCGCAAGCCUGACCCAGCAAUGCCGCGUGAGUGAUGAAGGCCUUCGGGUCGUAAAGCUCUUUUACCCGGGAUGAUAAUGACAGUACCGGGAGAAUAAGCUCCGGCUAACUCCGUGCCAGCCGCCGCAGUAA
rnacentral:rRNA from 1 species